CCUACGGGUGGCAGCAGUCGAGAAUCAUUCACAAUGGGGGAAACCCUGAUGGUGCGACGCCGCGUGGGGGAAUGAAGGUCUUCGGAUUGUAAACCCCUGUCAUGUGGGAGCAAAUUAAAAAGAUAGUACCACAAGAGGAAGAGACGGCUAACUCGGUGCCAGCAGCCGCGGUAAUACAGAGGUCUCAAGCGUUGUUCGGAAUCAAUGGGCGUAAAGCGUGCGGAGGCUGUUUCGUAAGUAGUGUGUGAAAGGCGAGGGCUCAACCCGCGGAUGGCACAUGAUACUGGGAGACUAGAGUAAUGGAGGGGGAACCGGAAUUCUCGGUGUAGCAGUGAAAUGCGUAGAUAUCGAGAGGAACACUCGUGGCGAAGGCGGGUUCCUGGACAUUAACUGACGCUGAGGCACGAAGGCCAGGGGAGCGAAAGGGAUUAGAUACCCUAGUAGUC
rnacentral:rRNA from 1 species